rnacentral:rRNA from 1 species
GAUGAACGCUGGCGGCGUGCCUAAUACAUGCAAGUCGAGCGAACAGACGAGGAGCUUGCUCCUCUGACGUUAGCGGCGGACGGGUGAGUAACACGUGGAUAACCUACCUAUAAGACUGGGAUAACUUUGGGAAACCGGAGCUAAUACCGGAUAAUAUAUUGAACCGCAUGGUUCAAUAGUGAAAGACGGUUUUGCUGUCACUUAUAGAUGGAUCCGCGCCGCAUUAGCUAGUUGGUAAGGUAACGGCUUACCAAGGCGACGAUGCGUAGCCGACCUGAGAGGGGGAUCGGCACACUUGGAACUGAGACACGGUCCAGACUCCUACGGGAGGCAGCGGGAGGGAAUCUUCCGCAAUGGGGGAAAGCCUGACGGAGCAACGCCGGGGGGGUGAAGAAGGUCUUCGGAUCGUAAAACUUUGUUAUUAGGGAAAAAAAAAUGUGUAAGUAACGAUGCACGUCUUGACGGUACCUAAUCAGAAAGCCCCGGCUAACUACGG